GCGGAAGUACCCAAGUGGCCGAAGGGGCUCCCCUGCUAAGGGAGUAGGCCGUCAAAAGCGGCGCGAGGGUUCAAAUCCCUCCUUCCGCG
rnacentral:tRNA from 1 species